UGAAAUGGUUUCUGGGUGCAGAGGGCUG
rnacentral:piRNA from 1 species